CCAUGGCAAAUUGUGGAUGACUGUGGUGGGGCCUUUACGACGGGUACCAUUGGUGGAGGUAUCUUUCAAGCAAUCAAAGGUUUUCCCAAUUCUCCAGUGGUAGUAAACCACAGACUACAAGGGAGUUUGACAGCUAUUAAAACCAAGGCUCCGCAGUUAGCAGGUAGCUUUGCAGUUUGGGGAGGCCUGUUUUCCAUGAUUGACUGUAGUAUGGUUCAAGUUAGAGGAAAGGAAGAUCCCUGGAACUCCAUCACAAGUGGUGCCUUAAUGGGAGCCAUACUGGCAGCAAGAAAUGGACCAGUGGCCAUGGUUGGGUCAGCUGGUGGCAUUCUCCUAGCUUUAAUUGAAGGAGCUGGUAUCUUGUUGACAAGAUUUGCCUCUGCAGUUUCCCAAUGGUCCUCAAUUUGUGGAAGACCCCUCCCAGUUGCCUUCAACUCAAUUACCUUCCUUACCUUUUGGAGACUACCGACAAUAUCAGUAGGAUUUCUUUCCUAGGAUUUCUUUAACAGAAUGAGUUGUAGUUCGAGAAGGAUUUCAGAAGAUCAAGUUACAGUCCAUUUUUAAAACCAUGGGACAGCUAUGGCUAAUAGGCUAUAAAGAGACAUUUGGCACUUUUUUCUAUUUAAAGGAACAAAGGGGAAGGGGGUGCUAAAAGAUAAUGCAUUUAUUUAUUCACACUUGAAUUGCAUUUGUGGUAAAAAUAAAUGUCUAAAUCAUUAAAGGAAAAUACAGUAAGUGCUUGAAAGGUGAAGGACCAAAGCGCCAAAAAACAGUGAAAUAUGAUUAUCAUCUCCUUGGGGAUUUCUCUGCCUGGUUUUGUGUGUUCUGUUAUUCAAACAAUAAAAUGCUGGAACUUAAAAAAAAAAAAAA